UAGAUAGAUAGAUAGAUAGAUCCCCUCAUUCAUUUGUUUAUUUGGUGGCAGUAAUAAAAGGCUACAAAAAGGAAAGAAUGUUCAUUCUUCUAUGAAAACAGUUCUCUGAGCGAGCAUGUGUGGACUAAAACCAACCCAAUAUUUCGAUUUCACAAACAAAUUUCAUUCAUAGAAAGCUUCUGGGUGCAGAUUGAUCAGAAACGUGCUGCUCCACAUCUCUCUCACCAGGUUAUAGACACCACCACCUGCUGGUUAAAAGGAGUUCAUGCAGCCACUGCUGACAAGCCCCAGACAGAAGUUGGCCUAAUGGCACUAUUAAAAAACACCGUUGGCUAAUUAUAUGUCUGAACAGAUUUGAAGCAUCUCAUGUUUAUAAAGUCAGCGAUGAAACCACUAUCAAGUCUAAUUUAUUUCUAUGGUACAUUUAAGUGGCACAGCUGUUGCUCCAAAGAGCUGCACAUAAACAAAGUUGAGAUACAUACAAACAGGCUACAAAGAAUUAAAGGAGACAUAACAUGAAAAACCCACUUUUUUAUCCAUUAACACAGUGUGUUUCACAUUUUAAGUGUCUAAGUGAGCAAAAAGGCUUAUAUUAUUCACUGGAGUUGCUAUUUAGAUAUUUAAUAAUUAAGUUUUGGGCAUAUUUGUCCACCCGUUCAGUUUUUACAUUAUCUAUUACAUCAGUAAUUAAUUUAGUCAGGAUAACUACCAAAUAUGGUAAUGGCCCUUGGCUAAACACAGAGCCAAUCCGCCAUUUUUUCUUCUCGCUAAGAUUUUUUGUAGUCCUAUUGGAAAAAUGCAGAAUGUCUGGUUAUUUUAGCCACACACAGCUCAAAACUGUUCCUCGUUUUAAGGAAGGGUGGUGUGGCAGUAUUUAAACCCAGGAGCUGAUGACACUACUGCUAAAAAAACACAGAAGAAAAAGUAGUGUGUUUGUGUUUGUGUUUGUGUGUGUGUGUGUGUGCGCGCGUGCGCGUGGUUCGUUCGUUCCUGUCUCCAGGCUAGUAAGUACUGAGGGCUUCAUCUAUCUAAAAGGAGUCAUUUUUAUCUGAAUGUGGCAGCACCGGGACACAGCAGCAGAGCGAAUAUGACGAUGACAUCAUGGAACUGGUCUUUGGAAAAGUUUUCCCUGAACCAACUCCAUUUCUAGAUGAGGUAGAGAAGAUCUGCAUCUCACCAACUCUCUGGUCUCAGUAUUCAGACAACGGAGGUCUCCCACUGUUAUCCAGGACCAGUUUGAAGCCCACAUACUGCCCCUCCCUCAUCAUCAGGAAACAUCAAUCCGUAUCCUGAGGACAACAGAAGACGGCAGGAGGACAGGAACUCUGAGACCUAGACACCACCAGCACCGAGACACAAAGCACCUGUGUGCACAACGCCUGUUUAACUACUAAAGCCUGUUUAUUAUAUUGUUCUACUUAUUUGCUGUGAGGUUAAUACUUAGAAAAUUUGUAUAUUAAUGUAAACAAUUAAAAAAAUCACUGAUUGUAUGUUUUCUUUUAGAUGUAAUGGUCCAAACUCAGCCUUGUAGACAUUUAUUGCAUCCUGUAGGUAAAUACACAGAACAGGCUCAGAUCCAGGAUGACCCAGCAUGCACUUCUUCCAUUCUGGCUGUUAGGGAUUUUAUCAAUAACUCAAUGCCUACUGAUGUUUUCACCUAACGGUAUUUAUUUAGAAUGCAGGUAAGAUUUAACUAUAUUUGUUAGCAAAGCAGACUGAUCUUGGGAAUUUCACUGCAGCACUGAUGUCCACCUCUCUGUACACAUUAGAGAGAAUUACCACUUUACAGCUAAACACAUUUAAUAAAGAUAUAGGCUACGCAUUGCAGACAAUAAAAACAAAGUUGUAAGCAUUAGAAUUAUAAUGAUCACAUUAAAGAACAUUUGGAGGAAUGUUCUUUAUUUUUGACUCGAAUCUCAAAUCUUUAAAUUAAAAUGUAACUGCUUUUUAUCCAUUUUCAGCCAUUAAGACACCCAAUAUAAAAUAAGACUACUUAUAAAAUUAUUUAUAAUUAUAUGUAUGUAUAUAUAUAGAUAGAGAUCUUAAUAAAAUGUAUUCUUUUAAUGGUGUUUUAAUGAGCUGUAUCAUUUUUUAAAACAUUUUUUAUAGAAAUAAAUAAGCAAGCAGCA